GGCAGUUUUACUUUUUUAAUAGAUUAAGGAAAACGUUUCAUAAAAUUUUCAAACUUUUAAAAAUAGUUUUCAUAUUUUCAUAUCUUAGUGUCCUCCUGUGCUGAUAUGCAUUAAGCAUAUGUGUAAACGCUGUAUGUUUUGUCCUAAUAUAGUUAUAAACAUUUUUUGAAAAGUUCUCUGUUCAGUUGCAGGACCGUUAGUCAAUCUGUUUUGAUGCUCUUAUAUCUGGGCUUCUUUUUGCAAAGCUUUUGUGUUAGUCUUUUUUUAAUCUUUUUUUUUUGUUUUUUACUUCACACAGGAAUUUGGCAUCCUGAGCAACGACACCGCUUUUGUAACGGAUAAUGGCUCAAAUGUGGUUGCAGCAUUCAAGGAUUAUGUCCGACUCUCCUGUGCUGGCCAUAAUAUCAACUUAAUCUUAAAACAUGUAUUUGACCACUUGGACGAGGACAACCCAGUGCACAGCAACAUCAUCAAGCUGUUUAAGGACACAAAGACCCUUGUCACACACUUCAAAAGAGCAGGGUUGCAAAAAGCACUGGACCAGUCACUGAAGCAAUCUGUGGAGACGAGGUGGAAUACCAGACUAGCAAUGCUCUAAUCUGUUAAUGAUGCUCUGAGAUCUGGGAGGCUGCAUGACAUCUUGCUUCACCGAAACGAGCUCCGUUACCUCAACAACAUAGACUGCGAACUUCUUGAAGACAUCAUCCAACUCCUGAAACCUUUCGAUGAGGCUACCAGGCAUCUCUCCACUGAUCAGACACCUACCCUUCACCUUGUCCUCCCGACCAAGGCUACUCUACUGAGGGGUUUGUCGAUCCAGGAUGGAGACAGUGUGAUUGUAAAAGAGAUCCACCCCCAGAGCAAGGAGCUACGGAGGUGCAUAACUUCUUUGCAAGUUGUGUAGAAGAGGAGGAGAGGAAGGAGGACAGUGGUGAUAUGGAGUCACAUGGUCGCCAGUUGGUGCUGCAAUACAUGAGUGACACUAAGUUGACACGUUUCCAGUGUCUUCUUGACUUCUGGCGGGAGAUGUCAGGUGGGCUCGUACCAGUUGCCAAGAGGCUGCUAGCUA